CUAUCUUUCCGACCGGGAUAACUAGCCGAAAGGUUAGCUAAUACCUGAUACGAUCACCGAGCGGCAUCGCAUGGUGAUGAAAGCAGUAAUGCGCGGAUUGAGGAGCCUGCGGCCCAUUAGCUAGUUGGUGAGGUAAUGGCCCACCAAGGCGACGAUGGGUAGCUGGUCUGAGAGGACGACCAGCCACACUGGGACUGAGACACGGCCCAG
rnacentral:rRNA from 1 species